UACAGAGGUCUCAAGCGUUGUUCGGAUUCAUUGGGCGUAAAGGGUGCGUAGGCGGCGCGGUAAGUCGGGUGUGAAAUCUUGGAGCUUAACUCCGAAACUGCAUCCGAAACUGCAGUGCUUGAGUACUUAAGAGGAUCGCGGAAUUCCCGGUGUAGAGGUGAAAUUCGUAGAUAUUCGCAAGAACACCAGUGGCGAAGGCGGCUCACUGGCCCGAUACUGACGCUGAUGCACGAAAGCGUGGGGAGCAAACAGG
rnacentral:rRNA from 1 species